rnacentral:rRNA from 1 species
AUUAGGAAUCUUGCGCAAUGGGGGAAACCCUGACGCAGCGACGCCGCGUGGAGGAGGAAGUCCUUCGGGAUGUAAACUCCUUUUAGGUGGGAAGAAACAAAUGACGGUACCACCUGAAUAAGCCCCGGCUAACUACGUGCCAGCAGCCGCGGUAAUACGUAGGGGGCGAGCGUUGUCCGAAGUUACUGGGCGUAAAGCGCGCGUAGGCGGGUUGUUAAGUGAGAAGUGAAAGGCUGAGGCUCAACCUCAUGCAGUGCUUCUCAUACUGGCAGUCUUGAGGGAGGCAGAGAGAAGUGGAAUGGCUGGUGUAGCGGUGAAAUGCGUAGAUAUCAGUCGGAACACCCGUGGCGAAGGCGGCUUCUUGGGCCUUUCCUGACGCUGAGGCGCGAAAGCCAGGGGAGCGAACGG